rnacentral:lncRNA from 1 species
UCGUGUUAUUGGUAGGAGUGUUCGGGUAUUUAUACAUGUUAUUAUAGAUGUUAUUACAACUCAUAAUCAAGCCCCACUAUUUUGUUUUGACUCUGCUACCUCUAAUACUGACAUUCUCUGCGAACUCUAGGUCUACUGGGUACGUAUUCACGGAGCACGCCGUCCUUUCUAUCCAUGGGACUGAUUCUAGGUGGACUCCAUGCCUGUUGGACACGUGUUUAGAUGGCAUGUGGAGCACGUGGUCCUUUCUGCAAGCUCCUUGGGUAUAUGCGGGCUAAGACCAAGGCUAACAUAUGUUCUUGCGAGCUGGGUCCGUGAGCUCACUUUGCUGUCCUUUCGUCGUUUGCCUUGCACUCAAUCUUCUGGUAGGACCUAUCCAAGUUACGGGUUAGAGACCUGAAUCCCUUCUAGGACUUGGGUUGGUGAUUACUAAUGUAUAACACCUUUCAAUUUUAUAAAUAAAAAAAAAGUCACUUUAAUUUUCCAUCUAAAUUAAAUAGAUAGUUAAAAUGACUUUUUUGUAAAGUUUGAAGGCCAAAUAAGUUAUUAUGUCUUUUUAAAUAUGUGUAACCCUAAUAUAUAUUGAGAUAAAUGAUCUAUUUAUAUAAAUUAACUUUUAAUCCAAUAUGUAAAUCAAGUAUGUGAAUGAAUGGAUAGACUUUAAUUGUUAUUAAAGCAAUUAAAUUAAUUCUAUAAAAAAUAAUUAAUUUAAUUAAUACUUUGAAUAAUAAUUUAAUUAACUUAAAUAGAGCUUGUAAAACCUUAAAUUAAGUUGUUUAAUAUCAAUAAUAUGAGCUAAAAUCUUACAUACCCUCACUUUAUCCAAUUUAUAAAAUAUAAACUUUAAUAAUACAAUUAUUGAGUGUGCAUUAUAAAAUAUAAUAUUAAUUAUUAUUUCUUCUUUAAUAGGGAGGAAAUUUUUUUAAUUCAAUGCACUUCUACUUAUAAACACCCAAAAUUCUUAAAUCGAAAUAUGUAUGUUUUGUAAUACUCCUUACCCGAGACUGUUGCCAGAAUCGAGCACGAGGCAUUACUAAACUUAAUCUAUCACUUAAAUAGUUUUAAAUUGUUUAUUUAAGCUUUUCGGAAUGUGCUGCCAUUCUGCGUCGUAGUCGCCUAAAAAUUCAUAUCUUGAGUUCCAAAACUCAAAAUUAAGAUCCGUAAAUUUUUCCUGAAACUAGACUCAUAUAUCUAUCUACUAAUUUUUUUCAUAGAUUUUUUACUUGGCCAAUUAGUACAGUUUAUUAGUUAAAGUUUCCCUUGUUUCAAAACUCGACUGCACUAACCUCUUCUUGCUACGACAUGUUUCUUCCUGUACAAAAUUCAUAUAACUAAGCCGUUUGUUUCUCUUAAAACUAGACUCAACAAGGAUUAUAACCAUAUAAAGUAAACCUUCUAAUUAGUUUUGUACAAUUUAUGGUGAAUUUCCAAAUUUGAAACAGGGGAUCCAGAAAUCGCUCUGACCCUGUUUCACUAAAACUCAGAUAUAUCAUAUAAUAUAAUACCUUUACCUGUUUUUCUUAUUCCAUAAGAAAAUAGACAUAAUAAGCUUUAAUUUAAUAUAUUAUUCAUCUUCAAACUAUGUUUCUACAAUUUUUAGUGAUUUUUCAAAGUUAAGUCAUUUCUGUUACUUGAAUCUGUUUUUAGGUUACUUUCACAUUUUUCAUAAUUUUCAUGUGAUAAUCACCAUUCAAUCAUACAUAUUAAUAAACAUGCAUAUCAUCGGCCAUUUUUAUUAGCUAAUCACUAGCAAGUAUUUACACAUCAUUCAUUGUUCAUAUUAUACCAAAAGUAGCUAAGUUUCUAUACAUGCCAUACACAAAAAAAACGUCUAAUUAUACCGAGUUAUUUCUUUGAUAGUGUGAUCGGCCUCCGACGUUUCCUUCGAUCCCCGAGUGGCUAGAUAAGUACUAUAAGAAGAAGAAAAUAAAGAGAUUAAGCACUAGGCUUAGUAAGCUUACAAGCAAAUAAAUCACAACAUUCAACAUAAUGGAUAAUUAUGCAUAAUAUCAUCUAACAUCAUAAAUUUCUUUACUUCUCAAUUUCUAUCUUCUUCUUUAUUCCCUUACCUUCUUUCUUACCUGACCUUUCCUUUUUCAUAAAUAUAAUCUACUUUUCCUUUGCUGUUAAUUCACUGUAAUUUAACUCGUAUUCUGACCCGUUGAACCACUCGGAAUACUAAGGAUACUAGGGUCAUUCCUGUCUAUCAAUACCCUGCCAAUGCCAUGUCUUUGACAUGGACUUACAUGAAUUAUUCCUGUCUCCAAUGCCAUAUAUAAUAUGGACUUACAUGGCUCAAUCCUGUCUCCAAAGCCAUAUUUCUAAUAUGGACUUACAUGGCUCAUUUUUGUUCUGUCCUGUCAACCCUAAUAUCCUAACAUUCCUAGGGUUCAACCGGGGCUUUCUAACACUUUUCCCCUGUCACUUCACCUUAAAUUCGACUUUAAAUAUUUUCAUAACAUAAAUAUAUAAAUGCUGGAAAUUGACAAUAAUAAUGUAAAAUAAAAGAAUAUUGCAUUUAUUUACUGUAAACUUACCUCGAUACAAAAUGUGACUAAAGUUUACAAUUUAGUCCUUUACUUUUUCUUUUCCCCGAUCUACUCCCGAAUUUCGCUCUUCUUGAUCUAUAAUAGCAAAUUUAGCUUAUUUAAUAUCAACAUUUAUCAAAACAACCCUUUACUCAAACUUUGGAAAAAUCACAUUUUUGCCCCUAAACUUUCACAUAUUUUCACUUUUGCCCCAAGGCUCGUAAAUUAAACUUCAUCCUAUUUUCUUAUGUUUUAUGACAUACUGAUCAUUUUUCCCUUCUAUGACAACAUCAAAUUCACACACUAACAUGUACUUAUGACUAUUAGGUAUUUUUACCGAUUAAGCCUUUUUACUCGUUUUCACUUAAAACCAAGUAGCACAAGUUGUCUAACAUAAUUUAAAGCCUCAUAUUCCAUCAUAAAACAUCAAAAUACACAAAUUUCUCCUAUGGGUAUUUUUCCAAAUUUGAUUCCUAACUUAAAUUAUUGCUAGCAUAAGCUUUAUCGAGCUACCGGGACUUAAAAAAUGUAAAGAUCAUUAAAAUCGGGGCUUGGAAUCACUUACUAUAAAGCUUGAAAGUUGAAGAAACCCCAGCUAUGGAGAGAGGUAAGGUUCGGCUGGUAACUU